GCUAUAAUAGGCCCCAAUAAGACAAUGUAAAACAAUUCAAACGAGAAAACUAACGGCCUUAUUUAUGUAAAAAAAUGAACGAAAAACAAAUAUGUAACACAUAAACAAACGACAACCACUGAAUUACAGGCUCCUGACUUGGGACAGGCACAUACAUAAAUAAUGUGGCGGGGUUAAACAUGUUAGCGGGAUCCCAACCCUCCCC
rnacentral:lncRNA from 1 species